rnacentral:rRNA from 1 species
AUUGAACGCUGGCGGCAGGCUUAACACAUGCAAGUCGAGCGGGGUGAUGGUGCUUGCACUAUCACUUAGCGGCGGGCGGGUGAGUAAUGCUUAGGAAUCUGCCUAUUAGUGGGGGACAACAUCUCGAAAGGGAUGCUAAUACCGCAUACGUCCUACGGGAGAAAGCAGGGGAUCACUUGUGACCUUGCGCUAAUAGAUGAGCCUAAGUCGGAUUAGCUAGUUGGUGGGGUAAAGGCCUACCAAGGCGACGAUCUGUAGCGGGUCUGAGAGGAUAAUCCGCCACACUGGGACUGAGACACGGCCCAGACUCCUACGGGAGGCAGCAGUGGGGAAUAUUGGACAAUGGGGGGAACCCUGAUCCAGCCAUGCCGCGUGUGUGAAGAAGGCCUUAUGGUUGUAAAGCACUUUAAGCGAGGAGGAGGCUCUUUUGGUUAAUACCCAAGAUGAGUGGACGUUACUCGCAAAAUAAGCACCGGCUAACUCUGUGCCAGCAGCCGCCGUAA